GAUGAACGCUGGCGGCGUGCCUAAUACAUGCAAGUCGAGCGAACGGACGAGAAGCUUGCUUCUCUGAUGUUAGCGGCGGACGGGUGAGUAACACGUGGAUAACCUACCUAUAAGACUGGGAUAACUUCGGGGAACCGGAGCUAAUACCGGAUAAUAUUUUGAACCGCAUGGUUCAAAAGUGAAAGACGGUCUUGCUGUCACUUAUAGAUGGAUCCGCGCUGCAUUAGCUAGUUGGUAAGGUAACGGCUUACCAAGGCAACGAUGCAUAGCCGACCUGAGAGGGUGAUCGGCCACACUGGAACUGAGACACGGUCCAGACUCCUACGGGAGGCAGCAGUAGGGAAUCUUCCGCAAUGGGCGAAAGCCUGACGGAGCAACGCCGCGUGAGUGAUGAAGGUCUUCGGAUCGUAAAACUCUGUUAUUAGGGAAGAACAUAUGUGUAAGUAACUGUGCACAUCUUGACGGUACCUAAUCAGAAGGCCACGGCUAAAUACGUG
rnacentral:rRNA from 1 species